rnacentral:rRNA from 1 species
UACGUAGGGGGCAAGCGUUGUCCGGAAUCAUUGGGCGUAAAGAGCGUGUAGGCGGCCCGGUAAGUCCGCUGUGAAAGUCGAGGGCUCAACCCUCGAAUGCCGGCGGAUACUGUCGGGCUAGAGUCCGGAAGAGGCGAGUGGAAUUCCUGGUGUAGCGGUGAAAUGCGUAGAUAUCGGAAGGAACACCAGUGGCGAAAGCGGCUUCCUGGUCCGACACCGACGUUCAGGCACGAAAGCGUGGGGAGCAAACAGG